GAUUUAUUAUCGAGUUCUCAGAUUGUCAGAGCAACGACCAAGGUAAAACGAUGUUCUCAACUGUCACACUUGUGCUGCUCGUGUCAUGCUGCGGCGUUGCGUUGAGUAGUUGGAUACCAUAUGGGAACUCGUAUUUGCCACAACAACCUGCUGGAAAGGGAGGGUAUUGGAACUCAUAUUUGCCGCAAUAUGAGAACUAUGGGCCACAACAAUAUCAAGGUUCCUAUUGGCCUGGACCAUG